GGAAUCUUGCGCAAUGGGCGAAAGCCUGACGCAGCAACGCCGCGUGCGGGAUGAAGGCCUUCGGGCUGUAAACCGCUUUCAGCAGGAACGAAAAUGACGGUACCUGCAGAAGAAGGAGCGGCCAACUACGUGCCAGCAGCCGCGGUGACACGUAGGCUCCAAGCGUUGUCCGGAUUUAUUGGGCGUAAAGAGCUCGUAGGCGGUUUAGUAAGUCGGGUGUUAAAACUCUGGGCUCAACCCGGAGAGGCCAUCCGAUACUGCUGUGACUUGAGUUCAGGAGGGGAGCGGGGAAUUCCUAGUGUAGCGGUGAAAUGCGCAGAUAUUAGGAGGAACACCGGUGGCGAAGGCGCCGCUCUGGACUGAAACUGACGCUGAGGAGCGAAAGCAUGGGUAGCAAACAGGAUUAGAUACCCUGGUAGUCCAUGCCGUAAACGGUGGGCACUAGGUGUGGGCUCCAACUAACGGGAUCCGCGCCGUCGCUAACGCAUUAAGUGCCCCGCCUGGGGAGUACGGUCGCAAGACUAAAACUCAAAGGAAUUGACGG
rnacentral:rRNA from 1 species